UACGGGGGGAGCAAGCGUUGUUCGGAUUUACUGGGCGUAAAGGGCGCGUAGGCGGUCAGCACAAGUCAGUUGUGAAAUCUCCGGGCUUAACUCGGAAAGGUCAACUGAUACUGUGCGACUAGAGUGCGGAAGGGGCAACUGGAAUUCUCGGUGUAGCGGUGAAAUGCGUAGAUAUCGAGAGGAACACCGGUGGCGAAGGCGGCGACCUGGUCCUUGACUGACGCUGAGGCGCGAAAGCGUGGGGAGCAAACAGG
rnacentral:rRNA from 1 species